UGUGUCUGUGUGUUUGAUUUGUAACAAAACUUUAGAGACAGGUACAAACAGUAAAUUCUCUUUUGCAACCUGGAACUCAUUGUUGAAUACGAAAUUUUGGUGCAUGUAAAAUGGAAUAUG
ensembl:snoRNA